rnacentral:lncRNA from 1 species
GUGACCAAGGACUUCGAGGCGUGGAUCAGCAAGUGCCAGACGUGCAGCCAGACGCGGCCGCCGAUGCUGCCCCGAUAUUACUGCAUCGCGCACGGAUGCGGGAUCUCCCAGGGGCCGUACGUAGAGGAGAAGGGCAUCACCUUCCACAGGUGGAGCCAGAAGCAGGAUCGCUGUCCGAGCCACGCCCCCGCGCUGGCGGUCCCGCUUUCAGCACGUUCCCAUGUCCCCUCCUGCAGGUUCCCGUUUGACGACCCCGAGCGGCUGCAGCUCUGGCUCAGCAACGCGAAGCGGGACCGCUGGUCCAUCACGUCCAGGUCCGUCCUGUGCUCCAAGCACUUCGCAGACGACUGCUUCGAUGGGUCCGGGGAGACGGUGACGCUCAGGCAAGAUGCCGUCCCCACCGUCGACAUUUCCCCGGUCGCUCCGGAGGUAAAGACGGUAAAAAACACCGCUCGGCGGUGGAAGUUGUGUAGCGUGGCUCUAAUUUCACCAAUUUUUGUGCCUGAGCAGGUGACUCAAACAGUAGAUGAUUCUUUCAUGGAAUUAGAAGAGCCGCACCUGAAUCUAGUGGAGGACACGCCGCACCUGGAGCACCCGUUAUGCCGUAGGAAAGGAGGACCUGAAGAUAAAGGACCCUCAAGGAGCGGACGGCCAACAACGUUUUCUGAUUCCUUUUCCAGGUUGCACUUCAAGAAAUUCGACGCCUUAGAAAAAUAUCUGCGAUUUGGAACGUACGCGAACGGCCAGAAGAAAUCCGUAAGACAAGAAAUUAGACGGUACAGCAAGAAGUUUUCCUGGAAAGACGGAGUUCUGUACUACUGCCGAGGCACCAAACACCGGAGGGUGCUCCGGAACCAGGAGGAGGUGAACACGGUGCUGAAGGAGUUCCACGACAACCGCGGCCACUACGGCCUGAAGAAGUGCCUGGCGCCCAUCGCCGACGUGUACUAA